AAGCUGAGAGACCGUGAGGAGAGUGGCUGUGGACAUCCCCACGGAGGCCUGGGGCCUGUGCAUGGGACCACCCCAGACUACCCAGCUCUGACCAGCUGGCCCUGAUCAGAAGAACUGCCCAGAUAGCCCAUGGAGUCAUGAAACAGUAGAAAGGUGGUGGGCAUCACCCAGAAGCCUUCAAGCAUCCAGGAACGGUCACUUGUUUUGAGGACGUGGGUGUAGAGAAGCAGUACCAAAUUGGUAAUUCAAACAAUUUCUACCUUUUGGUUAUGACCUAUCCUGCUGGUUUCUUAAUUAAAGGACAGACAUCCUUGCAGUAGCUCUUUGACCUCACGGAGACUUCUCAUCAAUAAACAACUUUACCUUCUCUAUA